CUCACUCUCCGGGGCCCGGUCUGCGCCCAGGCUGAACACCACCAACCCCUGGGGCGCAGCUGCUCCCUCCCUGGGGAGCCAGCCCCUCUACCGCUCCAGCCUCUCCCACCUGGGACCGCAGCAUCUGCCCCCAGGAUCCUCCACCUCCGGCGCAGUCAGUGCCUCCCUCCCCAGCGGUCCCUCGAGCAGCCCGGGGAGCAUCCCUGCCACUGUGCCCGUGCAGAUGCCAAAGCCCAGCAGAGUCCAGCAGGCGCUCGCAGGAGCGACCCCGAAGCCAGAGCCAGAGCCAGAGCAGGUCAUAAAAAACUACACGGAAGAGCUGAAAGUGCCCCCAGAUGAGGACUGCAUCAUCUGCAUGGAGAAGCUGUCCGCAACGUCUGGAUACAGUGAUGUGACUGACAGCAAGGCAGUCGGGCCCCUGGCUGUGGGUCGCCUCACCAAGUGCAGCCACACCUUCCACCUGCUGUGCCUGCUGGCCAUGUACUGCAAUGGCAACAAGGGCCCUGAGCACCCCAAUCCCGGAAAGCCGUUCACUGCCAGAGGGUUUCCCCGCCAGUGCUACCUUCCAGACAACGCCCAGGGCCGUAAGCCUCCAGGGGCUUCCAGAACCCAGAGACACUGGCUGACAUCCCGGCCUCCCCACAGCUGCUGACCGAUGGCCACUACAUGACGCUGCCCCUGUCUCUGGACCGGCUACCCUGUGACGACCCCAUGGCGGGCAGCGGUGGCGCCCCUGUGCUGCGGGUGGGCCAUGACCACAGCUGCCACCAGCAGCCCUUCUGCAAUGCGCCCCUCCCUGGCCCUGGACCCUAUCG
rnacentral:sRNA from 1 species